rnacentral:rRNA from 1 species
UACAGAGACUGCAAGCGUUAUUCGGAUUCACUGGGCGUAAAGGGUGCGCAGGCGGCCAUGUGUGUGAGCGGUGAAAGCCCGGGGCUCAACCCCGGAAUUGCACCUCAAACUACAUGGCUAGAGCAUUGGAGAGGGUAGCGGAAUUCACGGUGUAGCAGUGAAAUGCGUAGAUAUCGUGAGGAACACCAGAGGCGAAGGCGGCUACCUGGACAAUUGCUGACGCUCAGGCACGAAAGCGUGGGGAGCAAAAGGG